rnacentral:rRNA from 1 species
CCUACGGGUGGCAGCAGUGAGGAAUAUUGGUCAAUGGGCGCGAGCCUGAACCAGCCAAGUAGCGUGAAGGAUGACUGCCCUACGGGUUGUAAACUUCUUUUAUAAAGGAAUAAAGUGAGGCACGUGUGCCUUUUUGUAUGUACUUUAUGAAUAAGGAUCGGCUAACUCCGUGCCAGCAGCCGCGGUAAUACGGAGGAUCCGAUCGUUAUCCGGAUUUAUUGGGUUUAAAGGGAGCGUAGAUGGGUUGUUAAGUCAGUUGGAAAAGUUUGCGGCCAAACCGUAAAAUUGAAAUUGAUACUGGCAGCCUGGAGUACAGUAGAGGUAGGCGAAAUGCGUGGUGUAGCGGUGAAAUGCAGAGAUA